rnacentral:lncRNA from 10 species
AAGGAAGCCAACCCAAAAGCAUUCAGCAGGAGAGCCCAGGGGAGACAAUCUAUAGGUCUCUACUUCCUCCUGAGGCACAGACAAGAUCACAGAUGGAACUGAGAGGCAGGUGGGGAAUAAUUGGCACAGGAGUAAUCCAGUGAUUCCUGACGCAUGUGCAAGAGGAGGUCUGCUAUCUGAGAAAGAUGAGUAUGGCUUCCAAUUCUCUUCUCAGC